rnacentral:rRNA from 1 species
GACGAACGCUGGCGGCAUGCCUAAUACAUGCAAGUCGAGCGAACAGAUGAAGUGCUUGCACUUCUGACGUUAGCGGCGAACGGGUGAGUAACACGUAAGGAAUCUACCUAUAAGCGGGGGAUAACAUUCGGAAACGGGUGCUAAUACCGCAUAAUAUCUUCUUCCGCAUGGAAGAAGAUUGAAAGACGGCUCUGCUGUCACUUAUAGAUGACCUUGCGGUGCAUUAGUUAGUUGGUGGGGUAAUGGCCUACCAAGACGAUGAUGCAUAGCCGACCUGAGAGGGUGAUCGGCCACAUUGGGACUGAGACACGGCCCAAACUCCUACGGGAGGCAGCAGUAGGGAAUCUUCCGCAAUGGGCGAAAGCCUGACGGAGCAAUGCCGCGUGAGUGAAGAAGGCCUUCGGUCGUAAACUACUGUUAUAAGAGAGAACAAUAGUAGAGUAACUAGCUACAGUCUUGACGGUAUCUUAUCAGAAAGCCACGGCUAACUACG